GAUGAACGCUGGCGGCAUGCCUAAUACAUGCAAGUCGAGCGAACAGACGAGGAGCUUGCUCCUCUGACGUUAGCGGCGGACGAGUGAGUACCACGUGGAUAACCUCCCUAUAAGACUGGGAUAACUUCGACACCCCGGAGCUAAUACCGGAUAAUAUAUUCAACCGCAUGGUUCAAUAGUGAAAGACUGUUUUGCUGUCACUUAUAGAUGGAUCCGGGCCGCUUUAGCUAGUGGGUAAGGUAACGGUUUACAAAGGCAACGAUGCGUAGCCGACCGGGGAGGUGGAUCGGCGACAGUGGGACUGGGAGACGGUCCAGACUGCGACGGGGAGCAGCAGUAGGGAAUCUUGGGAAACGGGCGAAAGCCUGACGGAGCAACGGGGGGUGGGUGAAGAGGGCCAUCGGAUCGGGAAACUCUGGGAUUAGGGAAGGAGAAAUGUGUAAGUAACUAUGCACGCAUUGACGGUACCUAGGCAGAAAGCCACGGCUAACUACGUG
rnacentral:rRNA from 1 species